AGGUUCGAGAAGCUGGACAUCACGCCCAAGAGCGCGCAGAAGCUGAAGCCGGUGCUGGAGAAGUGGCUGCGGGAGGCGGAGCAGCGGCAGCGCGAGGGGCAGCAGCACCUGCUGGAGUUCGUGGGCGGCGAGCCGGGCAAGAAGCGCAAGCGCCGCACCUCGUUCACGCCGCAGGCGCUGGAGGCGCUCAACGCGCACUUCGAGCGCAACGCGCUGCCCACGGGCGCGGAGAUCACGCGCAUCGCGCAGGAGCUGCGCUACGAGCGGGAGGUGGUGCGGGUGUGGUUCUGCAACCGCCGCCAGACGCUCAAGAACACCAGCAAGCUGAACGUGUUCCAUGUGCCCUGAGGGCCGCGCCCGGCCCGGCUCUGCCCCGCCGACACCGACACCGGGACCGGACCGGACCGGGUACAGCAGCGCCCGGGGCGCCGGGCUGGGAGCGCUGGGAGCGCCCGCGGGUCCGUCCCGGCUCCUGCCACAGCACUUUGGGCACUGCUCUGUCCCUCUGCAGCCUGGUUCUGUCACCGCACCUGUCCCUGUGCCACCUGGUUCUGUCACUGCACCUGUCCCUGUGCCACCUGGUUCUGUCACCGCACCUGUCCCUGUGCCACCUGGUUCUGUCACCACAUCUGUACCUGUGUCACCUAUUCCAUCACCACAUCUGUCCCUGUGUCAGGUGGUUCCACCACCACACCUGCACCUGUGUCACCUGGUUCUGUCACCACACCUGCACCUGUGUCACCUGGUUCUGUCACCACAUCUGUCCCUCUGCCACCUGGUUCUGUCCCAACAUCUGUACCUGUGUCACCUGUUCCAUCAUACCUGUGUCACCUGUUCCAUCAACACACCUGUGCCUGUGUCACCUGGUUCUGUCACCACACCUGUCCCUGUGUCACCUGGUUCUGUCACCACAUCUGUACCUCUGUCCACCAUGACUGUAUCUGUGUUCAUCCCCACUCUGCCCCUCAGCAAAUACCAAGCUGGGAGCGCCCCCGGCUCCUGCCACAGCACUUUGGGCACUGCUCUGGCCCUCUCCCACCUGGUUCUGUCACCGCACCUAUCCCUGUGUCACCUGUUCCACCACCACGGCUGUCCCUGUGUCACCUGGUUCCAUCACCACACCUGUGCCUGUGUCCACCAUGCCUGUACCCAUGUCCAGCACACCUGUAGCUGUGCCCAGGUCCUUACCUGUGUCCACCAUGCCCAUACCUGUGUCCAUCACACCUGUACCCAUGUCCACCAUGCCUGUAGCUGCAUCUACCACACCUGUACCUGUGUCCACCUGUGCCCACCUGUGCCUGUGUGUGCCCCCCGGUCCCUCCUCUCACACACGACCCUACCUGUGACACAUAUGGUGACAGACCCCCCCGAGUGUCACCCACCCACCCACAAUCAGCGAUUUCUAUUUUCCUGGGUUUUGCCCUUUUCCCUGUGUUUCUGAGGCGAUGUUACGGCUCACCGGGGGUGACCCCAAAUUUAUGUCACCCGCAUGUUGCGGGUCCCCCGCCUCGUGAGGGGCUUCUGGGGGUGAUCCCCCACCUUGGGGACGUCCCGUGGGUGGAUUCUGGGGACAUCUCCGCCGGGUUUGGGGGGCGUGAACCCCAAAGCAGAGGCAGCGCCCCCUCCCCAGCCGCCCCUGCCCUGAGCGAUUGGGGGAGACACGGGGGCGCCCGCUGGGGCCGCGGCAGACUGAUGCACUUGAUGUAGUGGUGUGAAAUAAACAGUAUUUUUCUUUUUUCUUUUCCUUUUCC
ensembl:lncRNA